rnacentral:rRNA from 1 species
UACGGGGGGGGCAAGCGUUGUUCGGAAUUACUGGGCGUAAAGGGCUCGUAGGCGGCCAACUAAGUCGGAUGUGAAAUCCCCAAGCUUAACUUGGGAACUGCAUCCGAUACUGCUCGGCUUGAGUACGGUAGAGGAGGGUGGAAUUCCCAGUGUAGCGGUGAAAUGCGUAGAUAUUGGGAGGAACACCGGUGGCGAAGGCGGCCCUCUGGACCGAAACUGACACUGAAGCGCGAAAGCUAGGGGAGCAAACGGG